AGAGUUUGAUCCUGGCUCAGAACAAACUUUGGCGGCGUGUCUUAAGCAUGCAAGUUGAGCGGCAAGGGGGAGCGAUCCCCCCUAGAGCGGCGGACUGGUGAGUAACACGUGGAUGAUCUACCCGAGGCAUGGGGAUAGUCACUAGAAAUAGUGGGUAAUACCGAAUACGGUGCGCAUCGUGAGGGUGUGCAAGAAAGGUGCUACGGCACCGGCCUAGGAUGAGUCUGCGUCCCAUUAGCUGGUUGGUGAGGUAAGAGCCCACCAAGGCGAUGAUGGGUAGCCGGCCUGAGAGGGUGUACGGCCACACUGGGACUGAGAUACGGCCCAGACUCCUACGGGAGGCAGCAGCUAAGAAUAUUCCGCAAUGGACGAAAGUCUGACGGAGCGACGCCGCGUGGAUGAAGAAGGCCGAAAGGUUGUAAAGUUCUUUUGUUGGGGAAGAAUAACCAUGGGAGGGAAUGCCCGUGGGAUGACACGAACCGACGAAUAAGCCCCGGCUAACUACGUGCCAGCAGCCGCGGUAACACGUAGGGGGCGAGCGUUGUUCGGAAUUACUGGGCGUAAAGGGCAUGUAGGCGGUCUUGUAAGCUUGGCGUGAAAGACCACGGCUCAACCGUGGGAUUGCGUUGAGAACUGCGAGGCUUGAGUGACGGAGAGGGAGCUAGAAUUCCUGGUGUAGGGGUGGAAUCUGUAGAGAUCAGGAAGAAUACCAAUGGCGAAGGCAAGCUCCUGGCCGAUGACUGACGCUGAGGUGCGAAAGUGUGGGGAUCAAACAGGAUUAGAUACCCUGGUAGUCCACACUGUAAACGA
rnacentral:rRNA from 1 species